GUUUUCCGAUUCUAGCAGGUUUUGUUUCUCAAUCUCUUGUUCUGGGAGAGUUUUGACCGACGAAGGCUGUAGAAUCCCAUGGCUGCGCGAACGACGUGCCCCACAGCCGUAGAGAGGAAGAUGGCGGAAACUAUUAGGGUUAGGGUUCCGCUGCAUCUUUCUUCAUCGUCGCCUUUGGUAACCAAUCGCUGUGAGCAUCAAUCGGAUUGUUGUUCGGCCCUGAUUGGGACACAAAAUGAAUCCAACUUCGGGCGGAGCGGCGCACCGGUCCGGUUCAUGUUCUACCGGGUUGAUUCGUGGAUCGAUUUCCCGAACGAGGUUCUCGAGAAUAUUCGACCGUCGUUCUUGGAGGGUAGGCCAAUGGUCGAAUCAUUUAUUGGAGGGGCCAAGUAUAUCUUUGAUUUUCUUCGCAUGUUGCAGAUAGAUUUGGGGUCAGGUAGUCGGUGGUCUAUUGCUUGGAUUGACGAAAAUGAUAAGUUCUUUUUCCCCAAAGUGUUCGUCAGCGAAGAUCUGGAUACCACUAAUGAGAACGGCCCAGUGGAGAAUUUGGGAGUUCAGAAAAUUGAGAUCGGGAUUCGAAUUGGCGGAGAAAGGGGCAAGAGAAAGGGGGUGGAACAUGAAUUGGGUCCGAAUGAGGACGAGACUGAGGUAAGUUCAUCGAAAAAGCGAGACGGGGAUUCCUCGAAACGGCCGCGUUUAACGACCGCCGAUUCAGAAACAUCUAGCUGGCCGAAUGCGAAGCUUUUGAGCCCAGGAGAACAAGCUUACUCGGUGAUUAGCAAUUUGUUCAUGGCUGGGAUCAGGAAGAUCGAUCGCGGCGCUACCAUUACCGCAGUUCACCAGUGUACGCGCACUGGGCCGUUGGAGAGAGCUCGUCUCGAAGUUUUUCAGAGGCAGAAUGAGACCACCCAAGCUGCUCGAGGUGCGUCAAAUACCGUGUAUGCGUGGUAUGGAGCUUCAGCCAAAGCCGUAGCGCAAGUUUUAGCGCAUGGGUUUUCGGUGCCAAGCAAGGUUUCAGGGUCGGAAACUUAUGGAAUUGGUAUAUACUUCUCUCCUGUGGGCUUCCCCCAUUUAAGUGCACUGGAAUCGGAGUCUGAUGAUGAUGGGCAAAAGCAUGUGGUAUUGUGCCGGGUUAUAUUGGGAAGUGUCGAAAGGGUCGAGGCGGGGUCUCAGCAAUGCCAUCCUUCUAGUUUGGAUUUUGAUACAGGUGCAGAUAAUCCGAAGAAUCCUAAACGCUAUGUUGUAUGGUGCACCAACAUGAACAGGCACAUCCUACCAGAGUGUGUUGUGAGCUACAAAUCUUCUGAUCACGUUUCAGGCCAGCUGAGAGGAUCGGCGAAGUAUCCAUUUUCCAAAUUAUUUUCGAGGAUGAAUAAGUUCCUCCCUUCCUCAAAAGUUCAGGCAGCCACGACUUUGUAUGACACAUAUAGGGCUCGGAAGAUGGCCAGAGAUGUUUUUGUGAACCGGUUGCGAUCUAUUGUGGGGGACGACAUGCUGCUAUCGAUAAUGCAGGAGAUUCAUGCUUCAGAAUGAAGAUGAAGGUGUUUGGGUGGCUUCAGCUGUCAAACUUGUAGAUAGAUGAACUGCUGUCGGAUUAUAUCUGAAUAUGUUGUUGUUGAAGCUGCUUAAGGCAUCUCCAAUACUCCAUUUAGCACCAUUUGGAACGUUGGCUGGCAAAAGGCUUACGAGCAUCUGACAUGUGGGUUUGAAAUACUGAGAUACUCACGGAACAGCUAAGUGCUGCGAAACGGAUGCUCACAUUCCUCCCCAAAAUGUCAAGGUUCUGUUGCUGACCCUGUAUGUAGUCAUCUUUGGAAAUUAUCAGUGUAUAUUUUUUUUAAGUUAAUACAGCAGGUUCUUUCUGGUCUAAUCUGUAAAGGUAAGAGCCCCCCAAAAAUCAUUUUGUUAUUGUAGAAGGUUCUUUCUGGUCUAAUUGGUUUGAAUUCUUUCUUGUUGGAGUAAUGCUUUUCCAGGAAAAUUUUGGAGGCUGGUGGUAUUCUACAAAUUCAAGAGCUCAGUUCAUGCUUUGAUUUGGUUGGUGCAACAUCUUUAUUAACAUAAUUUUAACUAUUAUAGUAGUUGUGCCUACAGUGAACCGUGAGGGAGGGAACAUUGCCAGUAUCUCUAAGGAUAUGAAGGAUCCAAACAUUCAAGAUGGAGAAGAAUCUUUUAAAUGUUCACGUUAACAAUGUCCAAUUAAUUCUGAUUUGAGUCUUGAAUUUCUUUGAACUUGUCUCAAUAAUAUGAGAAAAACAAAAUCACUGCAGGUGGGUGUGGUAUACACGUGUCCAAAUUCCAGAGAUGUCGAUCCCUAAUCUCUUAGCACAUAACAUUGUUAACCUUUCAUAGAAUCAUACCCGUAUGUAAUUUAUCAUGUCUGUAAAGAAAGUUACACCUCCAUUUUUUGAAAUAUAUUUUAUGAAUGCCAAUUAUAAAUAA